GCGGCUCCAGGGACACAGACAGGAGGGGGGGAGGCAAGGUGGCCCCCCCAGACUGGGAACACACAGAGGGGAGACAAGCGGGAGGCGAACAGAGAAGGCAAAGAUGUUCUCUAUAUAAAGUCUUCGUAGGGUCCUAGUGCCUCGCUUGCAGGGAUUUUCUAGGAAGUUUUGGUUUCCCAGGCGGGGCGAGAAAACUAAGGGUGCUGACCCUGAGGGCCGGAGCAGAGACGGUACAGUACCGCGCGAGCUGCCCCAAAAUGUCUUAUGAAGAAGACAGAACAAGCAUUUGCUGAGAACCUGCCGUGUGUGUGCCGAGCCCUUUACAGAUAUCCCAUCGGAUCCUCACAAUCAUCAUGGGAGGUUCCUGAUUGAUUAUUCCAGUGGAUCCUGAUUUGAAGAACACGUCUUCAAUCAAGACUGGAAGAUGAACAGUGGUAUGCUGACCAGAGAGGAAGAAAGAGUUCUACAAGAAACAUGAAAGGACUUUGGAACUUUGAAAUGUUGGAACUUUUGAUCAUGAGGAUAUAUAAGAAUGCAUCAUACAUGUUACCACCACAUAUAUGCAUGCACAUGCUACAUAGAAUACACUUUAGGAAGAUAUUUCAUGGAAUGGGUAAAUAUACAACAUGCAUAGUGGCAUAACAAAAAGACACACUGAUAAAAAUUUCUGUGGAACAUUCAAACAGAUAAAGAUAUUUCUUUUCUGCAUGAGUUUGCAAAGAAAUCUAGAAGGAUGUACAUAUGUAAAUUUGUAUAGAUCCUAUGUACACAUGUAAUUACUAAUUGACUAACAAGCUAAGUUUAUUAGAAUAAUUUAUUAAUAUUUUCUAAUGACUAACAAUAGUGACAGCCUAGUGUAUUUGUUCAAGUCUUAGGAAAGUAGAGAUUGAAGUAUAGAAGUAGAUUGCAUCAUAAUUGUAGGUUAGCAUUUGUUAGUGAUAGGAAAUUUUACUUAGUGAAUUUAUAGAUAAUAGGAAAUAGGACAAUUGCAUAUUCUGAAUGUUAGUGAAAUUGUUGAAAUGAUUUGAAAAUUGUUACUUGAUUUGUUGUGAUGUAAAAAACUAUGUUCAUGUAAAUCCCUUACCUAAACCAUUUUCCUAUAACCCACUCUUAGCCUAGCACUAGGUAGACAGAAUAGCUAAGAUAAGUUAGGAUUUUGUUAUUUUGGGGUUGGGGGGGUAAGAGAAUAUUUCAGAGGGUACAGGGUUAAGAAUAGAUAGAUAGAAUUAUAGUAAAGGUAAGUAUCAUUGAAAAAUGUAGGUGCAUUUUUUUGGAGUAGAAAAGGGGGGAAUGGGUUUAAAAUAAUCAAUAUUGUGAUUCUAAAGUGAUUAGUAUCAAUUCCAUUAUAAUCAAUGCAAUCAGUAGAAUUCAUUAUUUUUAUAAGGAUUUCUAACUGAAGCAUAAAAACUGCUUCUAAGGGGAUUUCUAACCUCUCCCUAAGUUUGUACUUCUCUUUAUCUUAAGAUGCUGACCAUCUGAGUCUCAUGUCCCAAUAUGGUGCAGAUAUCAUGCACCCUUCCCUAUUUGGAAAUAGCCAUCCUUCCCCCCUAGAUCAGAUGAGUCUGAGGUAAUGGUCAUCACUAUCUGCCUAAGAGUAUUGCCUUAAUUUAACCUUUAGACAAAUAUGGGUUUUCCUAAAUGAACUAACCAAUCAGCUUUGUAAUUGGGUAACUGUUUCUAAAUAAGGUUCAUAUGAUGUUAUGUCUUGUGAUAUGUCAUUCAACCUUGUAUGGAAAUAUUAAUUUUGUUACUGUCCUGGUAUGUAAACCAGGUCUCUGCUGCCAGGUGUUGUCUCUUGCCAGGGUCCAAAAAUGUAAUACAUGCAUGAGAAUGCUUUUAUUGGAGGGAACUAGCCCUCUUCUAAUAAAUUCUAAUUUUCUAUUUUGA